UACGGAAGGUGCGAGCGUUAAUCGGAAUUACUGGGCGUAAAGCGCACGUAGGUGGUUUUAUAAGUCGAAUGUGAAAGCCCCGGGCUUAACCUGGGAAUUGCAUCUGAUACUGUCUGACUAGAGUAUGCUAGAGGGAAGUGGAAUUCCAGGUGUAGCGGUGAAAUGCGUAGAUAUUGGGAAGAACACCGGUGGCGAAGGCGGCAACCUGGUCCUUUACUGACGCUGAGGCGCGAAAGCGUGGGGAGCAAACAGG
rnacentral:rRNA from 1 species